rnacentral:rRNA from 1 species
AGCUCCAAUAGCGUAUAUUAAAGUUGUUGCAGUUAAAAAGCUCGUAGUCGGAACUCGGGCUGGGGGUCUGUGCCCAGCACUGCUGCGUGUGCAGGGCCCCGGUCUUCCUUCUGGCUUUGCGUGGGGGUCCUUUAUUGGGUUUCUGCGUGGAGGUCAGGACGUUUACUGUGAAAAAAUUAGAGUGUUUAAAGCAGGCGAUUGCUGUGAAUACAUUAGCAUGGAAUAAUAGAAUAGGACUUGGGUUCUAUUUUGUUGGUUUUUAGGACCGAAGUAAUGAUUAAUAGGGACAGUUGGGGGCAUUCGUAUUUCAUUGUCAGAGGUGAAAUUCUUGGAUUUAUGAAAGACGAACCGCUGCGAAAGCGUCUGCCAAGGAUGUUUUCAUUGAUCAAGAACGAAAGUA